CAGGAUUCCCCCAGUAAUGGCGAAUGAACAGGGAAAAGUUCGGCAUGGAAAUCAGGGCGCCCUGCCCUGAAUUGUGGUCUCGAGAUGUACUGCCAAUGAGGGUGCAGAUGUAGGCCUCUUGGGAAAGAGCGCCAACGAGGGUGAGAGUCCCGCUUGUCGCUUGCAGUCCCCCAUGCACGGCAUAUCUUCUAAGAGUCGUGUUCCUCGAAAUUGGAGUGCAAAACGGGUGGUAAAUUUCAUCUCCAACUAAUUCUCGGCUCGAAACCGAUAGCAAACAAGUACCAUGAGGGAAAGAUGAAAAGGACUUUGAAAAGAGAGUUAAAAUUGCCUGAAAUUGCUGAAAGGGAAGCGAAGGAAACCAAUGCUCCUGGGCGAGAUUGCUGCGCAAUGGGGUGGUGGCUUGCUGCUGCAGCGCAAGUGUUGCAGCAGGCCUUGAUCUGGAAGUGUGUGGUGAUUCUCGUUGUGUGUGUCAGCGUCGGUUCAUCGUUGAGGAAAAUUCCGAGUACAUGGUAUUUUGCUUGUGAACAGUUGAAUGUGCUAGGUAGAACUCAACAUUGAGCCAAUGAUUGCAUGUCUUGUUGCACUGUCUCUUACGCAUGCCUCUCGCAUGACGCCAGCGGCCUGACAUGUGGGCUGGACAUCUGGAGCAUGUCCCUGACUUGAACUCGCUGGCAAAAUGGUUUUCUCCGACCCGUCUUGAAACACGGACCAAGGAGUCUAACACCUGUGCAAAUUCCUUGGUAUUAAGCCAACAAAUACAAUGAAAGUGACUGCUGGGACGCGUGCACCAGCAACCGACCAAUCAACUGCGAGAGGUUUGAGUAUGAGCACAUCUGUUAGGACCCGAAAGAUGGUGAACUAUGCCUGAGCAGGGUGAAGUCAGGGGAAACUCUGAUAAAGGCUCGUAGCGAUACUGACGUGCAAAUCGUUCGUCAUACUUGGGUACAGGGGCGAAAGACUAAUCGAACCAUCUAGUAGCUGGUUCCCUCCGAAGUUUCCCUCAGGAUAGCUGGAGUUGCACAGUUUUACCAGGUAAAGCGAAUGAUUAGAGGAAUCGGGGACGUGUUGUUUUUGACCUAUUCUCAAACUUUAAAUGGGUAAGAUCCAGUGGUUGCUUGGAUGAACUUUGGGGAUAAAUAACAGCUCUAAGUGGGCCAUUUUUGGUAAGCAGAACUGGCGAUGAGGGAUGAACCUAACGUCGGGUCAAGGUGCUGAACUGCUCGCUCAUCAGAUACCAUAAAGGGUGUUGGUUCAUUUUGACAGCAGGACGGUGGUCAUGGAAGUCGAAAUCCGCUAAGGAGUGUGUAACAACUCACCUGCCGAAU
rnacentral:rRNA from 1 species